rnacentral:rRNA from 1 species
UACGAAGGGGGCUAGCGUUGCUCGGAAUCACUGGGCGUAAAGGGUGCGUAGGCGGGUCUUUAAGUCAGAGGUGAAAGCCUGGAGCUCAACUCCAGAACUGCCUUUGAUACUGAGGAUCUCGAGUUCGGGAGAGGUGAGUGGAACUGCGAGUGUAGAGGUGAAAUUCGUAGAUAUUCGCAAGAACACCAGUGGCGAAGGCGGCUCACUGGCCCGAUACUGACGCUGAGGCACGAAAGCGUGGGGAAGCAAACAGGG